GACGAACGCUGGCGGCGUGCUUAACACAUGCAAGUCGAACGGAAAGGCCCUGCUUUUGUGGGGUGCUCGAGUGGCGAACGGGUGAGUAACACGUGAGUAACCUGCCCUUGACUUUGGGAUAACUUCAGGAAACUGGGGCUAAUACCGGAUAGGAGCUCCUGCUGCAUGGUGGGGGUUGGAAAGUUUCGGCGGUUGGGGAUGGACUCGCGGCUUAUCAGCUUGUUGGUGGGGUAGUGGCUUACCAAGGCUUUGACGGGUAGCCGGCCUGAGAGGGUGACCGGCCACAUUGGGACUGAGAUACGGCCCAGACUCCUACGGGAGGCAGCAGUGGGGAAUAUUGCACAAUGGGCGGAAGCCUGAUGCAGCAACGCCGCGUGCGGGAUGACGGCCUUCGGGUUGUAAACCGCUUUCGCCUGUGACGAAGCGUGAGUGACGGUAAUGGGUAAAGAAGCACCGGCUAACUACGUGCCAGCAGCCGCGGUGAUACGUAGGGUGCGAGCGUUGUCCGGAUUUAUUGGGCGUAAAGGGCUCGUAGGUGGUUGAUCGCGUCGGAAGUGUAAUCUUGGGGCUUAACCCUGAGCGUGCUUUCGAUACGGGUUGACUUGAGGAAGGUAGGGGAGAAUGGAAUUCCUGGUGGAGCGGUGGAAUGCGCAGAUAUCAGGAGGAACACCAGUGGCGAAGGCGGUUCUCUGGGCCUUUCCUGACGCUGAGGAGCGAAAGCGUGGGGAGCGAACAGGCUUAGAUACCCUGGUAGUCCACGCUGUAAACGGUGGGUACUAGGUGUGGGGUCCAUUCCACGGGUUCCGUGCCGUAGCUAACGCUUUAAGUGCCCCGCCUGGGGAGUACGGCCGCAAGGCUAAAACUCAAAGGAAUUGACGGGGCCCCGCACAAGCGGCGGAGCAUGCGGAUUAAUUCGAUGCAACGCGUAGAACCUUACCUGGGUUUGACAUGGAUCGGGAGUGCUCAGAGAUGGGUGUGCCUCUUUUGGGGUCGGUUCACAGGUGGUGCAUGGCUGCCGUCAGCUCGUGUCGUGAGAUGUUGGGUUAAGUCCCGCAACGAGCGCAACCCUUGUUCACUGUUGCCAGCACGUUAUGGUGGGGACUCAGUGGAGACCGCCGGGGUCAACUCGGAGGAAGGUGGGGAUGACGUCAAGUCAUCAUGCCCCUUAUGUCCAGGGCUUCACGCAUGCUACAAUGGCUGGUACAGAGAGUGGCGAGCCUGUGAGGGUGAGCGAAUCUCGGAAAGCCGGUCUCAGUUCGGAUUGGGGUCUGCAACUCGACCUCAUGAAGUCGGAGUCGCUAGUAAUCGCAGAUCAGCAACGCUGCGGUGAAUACGUUCCCGGG
rnacentral:rRNA from 1 species